rnacentral:lncRNA from 1 species
CUCUGCAGGUCAAUGGUGACAAUAUUUGCAAAGUGCCACCAGCAUCUCUACUGCAAAUUGAAGCAACUUAAUCCAAAUCUUUGCUGCAAAUCUCAAGCAACUUGAUUUCUUUUCCAGCCUUUAGUACCCAUAAGAAGCCAAAAGAAGAAGUUUCUCAGACUUAAAGUGUACGAAAGGAUACUAAAUCUUGCAUCUCCUGGAGGCCGAAUGGAUAAUGAAAAGGCAUAGUUGUCACAUUCUGUCAGAGCUGAAUAUCUUGGAAAUAGUCCAAUCAGUGUGUUCCUUUCAAAGAGUAGCCGGUGUUUCAGUAUGAGUUCCUCCUUCGUUAUUUCACAGGUUUAUUGUACUCUGUCACAGAGGCAAAACAUCUGUUGGCAAAGACAAGGGAAGAAAAGGGGAUUCUCCAUCUUCCUUAUGAACAUUUGCAAAGAAGUUCUGGUGAAUUUACUGCCACUGAAAAGUGGCAGUUUUUCACUUUCUGAGAUUCCAGGUUCAGGGCUGCACCAACUAAUUCCUGACUAAGAAAAAAGAAAACCUGUAAGUUCUAAACUGUCAAAAUGUAUCUUAGAGUCAAAUUUAGCAAAAUGGACACAGAAGGGAGGAUUCAGAAGAGUCUUAGAAAUCCAACCUGCUUCUUAUAAAGUUGAGUUGUUCCCUAAAGGAGAUUCAUUUAGAAUCCAUCUUUUCAUAGAACUUUAUUUAGUUCCAUAGUACCAGCAAAAUUGCUCAGUUCAUAAAGCCAUCCAUAUCAGCAAUAUUUAUAAAAUAUUACAUGGUUCUUCUUACUUCCUUCAAAUGGAAUAAGCAGUAGGAUGUCCAUUUUACAGAUGUGGUAAGUGAGAUUCAGAGAUCAGGUAUGUUUUGCCUGUGGCAUAUGGUGAUAUGAUUCUAAGUGAUAAGUCAGUAUUAUAUCUGAAUUUAUCUCUGCAAAACCCUGUGUCCUGGAGAAGGUCUAGUACAUAACAGAUACUUUGCUUUCCAGUCUUCCAUUGAAUUAAAUCAGUACCUCCAUAAUCCACUUGAAGAACUCAUCUUUUCAUAACACUUUGGAAAGGAAUAGGUGUUCACAACUACUUAGAAUAUUUAUUUGUUCGUGAAUUUGUGUCUCACCCUUUGCGUGCGAACUGUGAGAUGUUCAGAAACCACACAUGAUCACUUAGACAGUUCAGGUUUUGAAAUAACUUUUUAUAUAUCAAUGUAACUUGGUUGUAAUUUUUCUUAAAUUUUGAAUCGGGACUAAAGUGAAGUACUUAAUAUCAAAUUGGGAAGGCAUGUCAAAAACCAUGCCUGGUUUCUCCAAUCGUGAAACAGAUAAUGGUUUACUUUGGACUGAAGUAAAAAAAUAUAUAUAUGGAGACAAAUUUAGGAGUAUAUGGUAUUGAUUCUCUUGUUAUUACUAUUUUUACUAUUUGUGUGUGUCUAUAUUAUGCUUUUUUCUUCCCCCUUUUGUAUUCCAAACCUGUCUCCUGUUAUAUUAAAAAACAAAACAAAACAACAACAAUAAAAAAAACAGUCUUGACUCUAGGCACUGUGUAAACCACCCCCAAAGCUCCCCAAAUAUGGCAAGAACAGGCAACUCUUUCAAAGUUGUAUAAAGGGUGCAGGGAGCUGGUGUAUUUAGUAUCUAAGGAGCAGCUUUUCCUUUUCUUGUUACUUUUUUUCCCUUUUCCCUCAGUAGAAGCUAAAACUUUAUUAUAAAACCACAGAUAAGUAUAUCAACUGCUCAGAGGCUGGCACAGCAGAAUACAAGGAAAUAAGAGAUAAGGGAAUUUGGUCAAAUACAAAAAGUACUGUGGAAUUUAAACCAAAUGACAGCAGAUAAGGCUUUCUCUGAGUUUCUAUUAAAAAAUGUAAUAAAUAAGAAAUUCGAAAAUUUUUUUUCCAGGCCCAGCACUUUUGUUCCUACAUUGCUCAUCAUAAAUGUACAGUAUUUUCAUCAAUGUGUGGAUUCUAUUCACAGUUGCAAAAAUAUACACUGUUGGAGUCAUGCUAAAGAUAUGACAGCCUUAGAUUGAUGCCCUGUGAGUCUUUCUAUAAGGUUCAUUAUUUAAAUAAGUAG